rnacentral:rRNA from 1 species
UACGGGGGGGGCAAGCGUUGUUCGGAAUUACUGGGCGUAAAGGGCUCGUAGGUUGCCAACUAAGUCAGACGUGAAAUCCCUCGGCUUAACCGGGGAACUGCGUCUGAUACUGGAUGGCUUGAGUUCGGGAGAGGGAAGUGGAAUUUCCGGUGUAGCGGUGAAAUGCGUAGAUAUCGGAAGGAACAUCAGUGGCGAAAGCGACUUCCUGGACCAAUACUGACGCUCAUGUGCGAAAGCGUGGGGAG